rnacentral:rRNA from 1 species
CAAUGGAGGAAACUCUGAACCAGCCACUCCGCGUGCAGGACGACGGCCUUCUGGGUUGUAAACUGCUUUUGUAUAGAAAUAAAAUUUCUUACUAGUAAGAACUUGAAGGUACUAUACGAAUAAGUGUCGGCUAACUCCGUGCCAGCAGCCGCGGUAAUACGGAGGACACAAGCGUUAUCCGGAUUUAUUGGGUUUAAAGGGUGCGUAGGCGGUUUGUUAAGUCAGUAGUGAAAUCUUACAGCUCAACUGUAAAAUUGCUAUUGAUACUAGCAGCCUAGAGUAAGAUUGGAGCAAUUGGAAUGUGUGGUGUAGCGGUGAAAUGCAUAGAUAUCACACAGAACACCGAUCGCGAAGGCAGAUUGCUAAGUCUUUACUGACGCUGAGGCACGAAAGCGUGGGUAGCAAACAGGAUUAGAUACCCUGGUAGUCCACGCUGUAAACGAUGAUCACUAGCUGUUGGAUUGUUUUUUUUAUUCAGUGGCCAAUCGAAAGAGGUAAGUGAUCCACCUGGGGAGUACGAUCGCAAGAUUGAAACUCAAAGGAAUUGACGGGGGUCCGCACAAGCGGUGGAGCACGUGGUUUAAU